GAUGAACGCUGGCGGCGUGCCUAAUACAUGCAAGUCGAGCGAACAGACGAGGAGCUUGCUCCUCUGACGUUAGCGGCGGACGGGUGAGUAACACGUGGAUAACCUACCUAUAUGACUGGGAAAACUUCGGGAAACCGGAGCUAAUACCGGAUAAUAUAUUGAACCGCAUGGUUCAAUAGUGAAAGACGGUUUUGCUGUAACUUAUAGAUGGAUCUGCGCCGCAUUAGCUAGUUGGUAAGGUAACGGCUUACCAAGGCAACGAUGCGUAGCCGACCUGAGAGAGUGAUCGGCCACACUGGAACUGAGACACGGUCCAGACUCCUACGGGAGGCAGCAGUAGGGAAUCUUCCGCAAUGGGCGAGAGCCUGACGGAGCAACGCCGCGUGAGUGAUGAAGGUCUUCGGAUCGUAAAACUCUGUUAUUAGGGAAGAACAAAUUUGUAAGUAACUAUGCACGUCUUGACGGUACCUAAUCAGAAAGCCACGGCUAACUACGUG
rnacentral:rRNA from 1 species